UGGGGAAUAUUGGACAAUGGGCGAAAGCCUGAUCCAGCAAUGCCGCGUGAGUGAUGAAGGCCUUAGGGUUGUAAAGCUCUUUUACCAGGGAUGAUAAUGACAGUGCCUGGAGAAUAAGCUCCGGCUAACUCCGUGCCAGCAGCCGCGGUAAUACGGAGGGAGCUAGCGUUGUUCGGAAUUACUGGGCGUAAAGCGCACGUAGGCGGCCAUUCAAGUCAGAGGUGAAAGCCCGGGGCUCAACCCCGGAACUGCCUUUGAAACUAGAUGGCUUGAAUCUUGGAGAGGCGAGUGGAAUUCCGAGUGUAGAGGUGAAAUUCGUAGAUAUUCGGAAGAACACCAGUGGCGAAGGCGACUCGCUGGACAAGUAUUGACGCUGAGGUGCGAAAGCGUGGGGAGCAAAACAGGAUUAGAUACCCUGGUAGUCCACGCCGUAAACGAUGAUAACUAGCUGUCCGGGUUCAUGGAACUUGGGUGGCGCAGCUAACGCAUUAAGUUAUCCGCCUGGGGAGUACGGUCGCAAGAUUAAAACUCAAAUGAAUUGACGGGGUCAUAGCUGUUUCCU
rnacentral:rRNA from 1 species